UACGUAGGGUGCAAGCGUUGUCCGGAAUUAUUGGGCGUAAAGAGCUCGUAGGCGGUCUGUUGCGUCCGCUGUGAAAACUCGGGGCUUAACCCCGAGCCUGCAGUGGAUACGGGCAGACUAGAGGUAGGUAGGGGAGAAUGGAAUUCCCGGUGUAGCGGUGAAAUGCGCAGAUAUCAGGAGGAACACCGGUGGCGAAGGCGGGUCUCUGGGCCGAUACUGACGCUGAGGAGCGAAAGCGUGGGGAGCGAACAGG
rnacentral:rRNA from 1 species